UACGUAGGGGGCCAGCGUUGUUCGGAAUUACUGGGUGUAAAGGGUUCGUAGGCGGUGCGGCAAGUUGGGAGUGAAAUCUUUGGGCUCAACCCAGAGACGGCUUCCAAAACUGCUGUGCUUGAGUGUGAGAGAGGCUCGUGGAAUUGCAGGUGUAGCGGUGAAAUGCGUAGAUAUCUGCAGGAACACCCGUGGCGAAAGCGGCGAGCUGGAUCACUACUGACGCUGAAGAACGAAAGCUAGGGGAGCAAACAGG
rnacentral:rRNA from 1 species